GGCCAGAGUGUCUUGACAGCACACCAGAGAAAUCCAGGGACCUGACCGAAGAUGCUGAAUGUCUCCGGCCUCUUUGUUCUCCUCUGUGGGCUGCUUGUCUCAUCCUCUGCACAGGAGGUCCUGGCUGGAGUUUCUUCCCAGCUCCUUAAUGAUUUGACUCAAGGACUCCUCAGGGCAGACUUUCUUCCCAGCCUGCAGACAACUGGCCUCCAGAAACCAUUGAGUAGUGCCUUCGAUGGUGUAUCAGGCCUCCUGGACAUCUUUGGACCUCCACUCACCAAUGAGAUCAACACUGUUAGCAUACAGGUGAAAAAUCCUCAACUCCUCCAUGUCUCCAUCGAGAGCACCCCUCAAAGAAAGGAGGCCACUGUACAAGUACCAUUCACGUCUGAGUUGAUUGUGCAGCUCCUGACCAUGAAGCCCUUCACAGCUAAUAUGCAGUCAGAUAUAAAAGUCCAGAUUCGUUUGGAGAAGAAUGUAGGUGGCAGAUAUGAGCUUGCCUUUGGGAACUGCAGGCUCUUGCCCGAGGCUAUUUGGAUCCAAACUGGAGUCCAACUCGCCCCAGCGCAAAAUUUGUUGUGGCAAACAUAGAGAGAAACCUGAAAAACAUAGUAGCCCAUGAUCUGGGACGAAAAGUGUGCCCUGUGAUUAAUAAAUGGCUCUACAACCUGGACCAGCAUGUGGUUAAAGAGUUGAUUAAUCUGGUCCUGCUGCAGGAAAAGUACCAAGUCACCAUCUAAAUGUCCCCAAAGUGAAGAAGCUAUGUGUGUAUCAAUCCGAAUCAGCUUCUGCAUCCUAGUCUCCUCCCUGGAAUGUCCUCCACACUCCAGGACACCACCUGCGUAGAUCGUGUUGAUUAUUCAGCUGAUGCCUGGAAUUGCAUGACCCACCCUGGACCAAAAGAGCCCCUGCUUCUCCGGGUAUGGAGGUUAUUUCCCUGUAAAUCCUCACCAGAACCCAUGUGCUGAUUCCCUGUAAUCUUCCCACAAUAAAUUUUUAGCAGCUCUGAACUGCAAACUGUCCAGCUUCCACAGCGCCAUGUGGAUGGGGGCAACGUGGCCAGAGAUGAUGGUGGGUCUGGUCAUGAUAACAAAAGUAUGAAAAGCAGGGGAGGAUACUUGGGUUGAUUUAUCCAUUAUCUCAUAAACAUCUGAACACUCUGGUAUGAUGUUUCCCAAAGGCUAAUUAAAAUUUUAAAAAGGU
ensembl:lncRNA BPIFA4P BPI fold containing family A member 4, pseudogene